rnacentral:rRNA from 1 species
AUGCCUCGGCCAAGUGGUAGGGGUGUUCGUGGCCGUGUCCCUGGCCGUGGUGCUGAUUCUGGGAAUGCAGCCGCUACUGUUGUCCCUGGUCCUGGGUUCACCGCCGCUCCUAGGCGUGCGGCGGUCCCUAGGAUUGCUAGACGUUACGUGCCACGUCAGCCUGUUGGGUGUCCUCCUCGAAGCCGUACAAGUGAUGGCUGGUUCCCUUUUCUGAGCUCGACCGUGGCUGCGGUAAAUUGCAAAAAACGGAAAAUGUGCGUUGAGUUUCGGCGCGCUCGAUAUGAAGAACAUGUCGUUGAUGGGCCUUUGCCGAAGGAUUGGCAUGGUUUCUCGGUUUAUGUGAGUUCGGAGUGA